rnacentral:rRNA from 1 species
GACGGAGGAUGCAAGUGUUAUCCGGAAUCACUGGCGUAAAGCGUCUGUAGGUUGUUUAAAAAGUCUGCAGUUAAAGGUUGAAGCUUAACUUCAAAAAUGCCGUAGAAACUUUUAAACUAAGAGGAUGGUAGGGGUUAGAGGGAAUUUCCAGUGGAGCGGUGAAAUGGUGUAGAUAUUGGAAAAGACCACCAUGGCGAAGGCGACUCUACUGGGGCCAUUAACUGACACUGGAGAGACGAAAGCUAGGGGGGCGAAUGGG